rfam:Cobetia sp. TCD-24C scaffold_19, whole genome shotgun sequence.
GGAGGGAUGGCAGAGCGGUUGAAUGCACCGGUCUUGAAAACCGGCGUAGGUUAAUAGCCUACCCAGGGUUCGAAUCCCUGUCCCUCCA